ensembl:antisense uncharacterized LOC110298161
AUGAGCCUAGCUAGCACAGGCGCUGGUCCCGUGUGUGCCAAGGGAGGUGAGAUGGUAACUGUGAGCCUGGGAUCAGAGCCCAGUUUUUCCUAUGUGCUAGCCUUGGGCUUGGGGCCCUGUAGCGAGCGGCUGUGGCUUUGCUGGCUAUCUGGGAGUCAGUCUCUAUCUGUAAGCAUGCUCGGGCUUUCUCCUGGCUCUGAGCUCACCGAUAGCACCUCGAUCUCAGUGAUGUUCCAGAAGGCUUUCCAGAAGUGCACAUCCAGGUUCUGUAUGAUGCGUUCAAAUUCAGCCCCACGCAACUCUGGGUCUAUGGCGAAUCGGCCACCGUGUUCCCCGAAGGACACCAGCCCGAUGGAGAGAGUCUGCAGGAACGGCCGGAUGGCAGGUGUGAACUGUGAAGGGAUGCCUGUGUCACCCAACUACCCAGGAGAGGGGUGA